AUUGAACGCUGGCGGCAGGCUUAACACAUGCAAGUCGAGCGGGGGAAGGUAGCUUGCUACCGGACCUAGCGGCGGACGGGUGAGUAAUGCUUAGGAAUCUGCCUAUUAGUGGGGGACAACAUCUCGAAAGGGAUGCUAAUACCGCAUACGUCCUACGGGAGAAAGCAGGGGAUCUUCGGACCUUGCGCUAAUAGAUGAGCCUAAGUCGGAUUAGCUAGUUGGUGGGGUAAAGGCCUACCAAGGCGACGAUCUGUAGCGGGUCUGAGAGGAUGAUCCGCCACACUGGGACUGAGACACGGCCCAGACUCCUACGGGAGGCAGCAGUGGGGAAUAUUGGACAAUGGGGGGAACCCUGAUCCAGCCAUGCCGCGUGUGUGAAGAAGGCCUUAUGGUUGUAAAGCACUUUAAGCGAGGAGGAGGCUACUUUAGUUAAUACCUAGAGAUAGUGGACGUUACUCGCAGAAUAAGCACCGGCUAACUCUGUGCCAGCAGCCGCGGUAAUACAGAGGGUGCGAGCGUUAAUCGGAUUUACUGGGCGUAAAGCGUGCGUAGGCGGCUUAUUAAGUCGGAUGUGAAAUCCCCGAGCUUAACUUGGGAAUUGCAUUCGAUACUGGUGAGCUAGAGUAUGGGAGAGGAUGGUAGAAUUCCAGGUGUAGCGGUGAAAUGCGUAGAGAUCUGGAGGAAUACCGAUGGCGAAGGCAGCCAUCUGGCCUAAUACUGACGCUGAGGUACGAAAGCAUGGGGAGCAAACAGGAUUAGAUACCCUGGUAGUCCAUGCCGUAAACGAUGUCUACUAGCCGUUGGGGCCUUUGAGGCUUUAGUGGCGCAGCUAACGCGAUAAGUAGACCGCCUGGGGAG
rnacentral:rRNA from 1 species